rnacentral:tRNA from 1 species
UCGGGGGUCGUCUAAUGGCAAGACAUCGGCCUUUGGCGCCGAGAAUUGGGGUUCGAGUCCCUACCCCCGAG